UACGUAGGUGGCGAGCGUUGUCCGGAAUUACUGGGCGUAAAGCGUGCGCAGGCGGUUUGCUAAGCCAGGUGUGAAAUCCCCGGGCUUAACCUGGGAACUGCGCUUGUUACUGGCAAGCUGGAGUGUGGCAGAGGGGGGUGGAAUUCCACGUGUAGCAGUGAAAUGCGUAGAGAUGUGGAGGAACACCGAUGGCGAAGGCAGCCCCCUGGGCUAACACUGACGCUCAUGCACGAAAGCGUGGGGAGCAAACAGG
rnacentral:rRNA from 1 species